rnacentral:rRNA from 1 species
AGUGAACGCUGGCGGUAGGCCUAACACAUGCAAGUCGAACGGCAGCACAGUAAGAGCUUGCUCUUACGGGUGGCGAGUGGCGGACGGGUGAGGAAUACAUCGGAAUCUACUUUUUCGUGGGGGAUAACGUAGGGAAACUUACGCUAAUACCGCAUACGACCUACGGGUGAAAGCAGUGGUUCUUCGGACCUUUCGCGAUUGAAUGAGCCGGUGUCGGAUUAGCUAGUUGGCGGGGUAAGGGCCCACCAAGGCGACGAUCCGUAGCUGGUCUGAGAGGAUGAUCAGCCACACUGGAACUGAGACACGGUCCAGACUCCUACGGGAGGCAGCAGUGGGGAAUAUUGGACAAUGGGCGAAAGCCUGAUCCAGCAAUACCGCGUGAGUGAAGAAGGCCUUCGGGUUGUAAAGCCCUUUUGUUGGGAAAGAAAAGCAGCAGGUUAAUCCACCGCUGUUCUGACGGUACCCAAAGAAUAAGCACCGGCUAACUUCGUG